AUUGAACGCUGGCGGCAGGCUUAACACAUGCAAGUCGAGCGGGGUGAUGGUGCUUGCACUAUCACUUAGCGGCGGACGGGUGAGUAAUGCUUAGGAAUCUGCCUAUUAGUGGGGGACAACAUCUCGAAAGGGAUGCUAAUACCGCAUACGUCCUACGGGAGAAAGCAGGGGAUCACUUGUGACCUUGCGCUAAUAGAUGAGCCUAAGUCGGAUUAGCUAGUUGGUGGGGUAAAGGCCUCCCAAGGCGACGAUCUGUAGCGGGUCUGAGAGGAUGAUCCGCCACACUGGGACUGAGACACGGCCCAGAAUCCUACGGGAGGCAGCAGUGGGGAAUAUUGGACAAUGGGGGGAACCCUGAUCCAGCCAUGCCGCGUGUGUGAAGAAGGCCUUAUGGUUGUAAAGCACUUUAAGCGAGGAGGAGGCUCUUUUGGUUAAUACCCAAGAUGAGUGGACGUUACUCGCAGAAUAAGCACCGGCUAACUCUGUGCCAGCAGCCGCAGUAA
rnacentral:rRNA from 1 species